CCAGCAGCACGGUUCCUAUUAUAGUUGAAGAAACUCGUUUUUCGAUACAUUAUCUUCUUUGGUAAUUGUGCUUCUCAUUUUGUAAUUGUGUUGCUUCUUUAGACAAUGUUGAGCAGUGUACUUAGCUUCUCUACAAUAAACACAACCCCUCUUGGUGACAUCGAGUCUUUUUCUGCUUUGUGAGAGGUUUAAAACAUAUCAUAUCGAUUUGCAUUAGUUUCAGCUUUGAUAAAUAUAUUUUAAAAAACUUGGAAACUAUUGCUAUUACGUGACU
rnacentral:lncRNA from 1 species